rnacentral:tRNA from 2 species
CGGGGCGUGGCGCAGUCCGGUAGCGCACCUGCUUUGGGAGCAGGGGGUCCCCAGUUCGAAUCUGGGCGCCCCGA